rnacentral:sRNA from 1 species
UUCUCUGGAUCGAAGGAACGGAUUCGAACCCUCGAUGGAGAUCGAAUGGCGGGUUCGAGCCGAGCCCGCGCAGCGGGCGAGACAACGCCGGAGCGAAGCGACGGCGGCCCGAAGGGCGAGGCCGCAGGCCGAGUAAUCCCUCUCUCUCCGCCA